UUGUAGAGCUGGGGAAGUGGCUCAGCAGCGUGGCACCUGUCUGGCAAGAAUGAGGCCCUGAGUUCAAUUCCUGAUUCCAGAAAAGAAAAUAGUUAAAGGGGAAAAAAAAGACCCCCAAAAAUCUCUUUAUUGUGGCCGAGGAUUUAGCUCAGUGGCAUAGCACAUGUCUGGAAAGUACAAGGUAGUGAGUUCAAUCCCCAGUACCAAAAAAUAAAAUAAAAUAAUAUUGUAUAAGUGCCUAAAAAUUUAUCUGUAAUGCUAGAAACCACUGAAUAAUUAUAAAAGUGACCAACAUCAACCUGAGAAAGUGAAUCUUCUUUUUUAAUCUAUUUUUUAGUACAUGUUUAUAGUACAUAGUGAUUACAUUACUCAUGGAGAGUUGGUCACAUAUAUAACACAUCUUAAUUCUUUUUCCCUUCUCCCUACUCUUCCCACUUCCUCUGUCUCUUGGUCAUCCCUUUUGAAGGAGAUCUGUCUCCUUAUUUCCUGUUAUCUAUCUUUCAUCUUGUUCUUUAUUUAUGUUUUGGGUUCUCAUAUAAAAGAAUCCAUGCAAUAUUUAAGCUUGUGUGUCAGAUUUAUUUCAUUUAACAUUAUGAUCACAAAACGCAUCGAUUUUCCUACAGAUAACUCAAGUUUCUCAAGUUUAACACUCCAUUGUGUUUAAGUGCCACAUGUUUUGUAUCCAAUCAUCUGUCGAUGGACAUACAGGCUGCUUCCAGGAUUUAGCUAUUAUGAAUUGUAUGACUAUAAACAUAAGUAUAAAUGUAUCACUGUAAUAUGUCUUUAGCUAUUUCAGAAAGAUAUAUAGAAUAUUCAAGUCAAGUGGAAAUUUUAUAUUUACAUUUUUAGGAAUCUCCUUACUGAUGUCCAUAAUGGUUAUACUAAUUUACAUUCCAACCAACAAGGUAGAAGCGUCUUUUUUUCUCCGCAGCUUCUCUAGAGUUUGUUAUAAUCUGAUGGGUGAGAGCUAUUCUUUCUGGAGUAAGACAGAAUUUCAGUAUUGUGUUAAUGUAUAUUUCCCUAAAGGAUAAAAAUGCUGAACACUUUUUUAUGUAUGUGUUAGCCAUUUAUACUUGUUCUUCUGAGAAGUGUCUGUUCAUUUCAGUUGCCCAUUUUUGAAAGAAAAAGAAAAAAAGACAAAAGAGGAGGGAGAAAAAGAGGGAAGAGGAAAGAAAAAAAACUUUGGAAAAGCUGAACUUGCUGGACUGGCCGAGCUCCUGACAAUAGGCCGCACUCCCUGAAGCAGGCAGCAUGCAAGCUACGAAUGAAUGACGGAGACUAAUGAAACUCUGUAAUAGGAAGGGAAGCCAAUCUGGAUAGUGAUCUUAUGCAGUGACCAAAUUCUCUUCAUUUUUCUGUACACUCAAUCCCCUUUCUUCCCUCAGGAUUCCAGGCCUGAGAUAAUCUUGACCCUCGUAGGAUUUGGGAAAUUAUGAGAGACAGUAGUGUUGAGCCAGCAAUCUCAUCCUAUAAUAUUGCCCUCUCACAAAGUGUGACCAAAAUUAAAACACAAACUGAAACAGUAUUUAUUCAAAGAAUAUCAGACAAAGGAUUCAUACCACAGAUCUAUAACUCCGUAUAAAUUCCUGGGACCAGUAAGAUCUUUCACUAAUAAAUCAGCAAGGGCUAGUUACAAAAAAAGAAAUGGUUGACUGGCAAGUUAGUGAUAAAAUGUUCAAUAUUUUUUAAAAAAUAUCAUGAAUUAGCACAAUCUAUCAAUUUCUUCUAUCAAAUUAGCAAAGAUUUAAAAUUGUUAAGUAGUACUGCCAGAAUAUGGUAAAACAGGCACUUGAAUUCAUCAAAGGUAAAAGUGUGUGUGGUAUCUGUGUAUUUACCUGAUCCUUUGAAAACCCAUUUCUGCAAUAACAUAGGAUGUGUAUUUUCUACUAAAUUCUUUUCCAUUAACUUGGGGAAACAAAAACCAAAGAUUUAGAGACCAACAUGUUUUGUCUUAUCAUAUAAAGCACUAAAAAUUCUAAAGCUAGAUUAUUUGUCAGUAUAAAAUAAAUAAAUUAUAAUAUAUGUAUCUACAUAGUACAUUACUGUUCACCUUUUACAUUUAUACUUGUUAGAGUUUUGUUAUGGUUUAGACCUAAAAUGUCCCCUGGAGGCCUCAUGCAUUUGGGAGCUCAUUGGACCCUGUACUCACUGGCUCUGUACUCAUCAGUGGAUUAACCCACUGAUAAGUUCAUAGCUGACUUGCUGUUAAGAGAUAGGACCUGGUGAGAGGUAGGUCACUGGGGGCCAUGACCCAGAAGCACUUAUCUCCCCCUCAGGUUCCUGCCACUCUGCUUUCUGGCCACCAUGGGUUGAGCACGCUUAUCUCUGCCAUGCCCCUCUGCCAGCUGAUCAUUCACUAAAGCUGAGCCAAAAUAAAUCUCUCUGUCUUUAAAUUCAUGGUGUUUUCUGUUUUGUCCAAGUGAAAAAAAUAAUGACUAAGAUAGUUUGGUGAUACGAUGAAUAUUGCACUAAAAUCACCAAAAAUGAAUGGAAGGUAUAUACUUACCCUACAGUGACACCUACCAAGAAAAACUGAAAAAUUAAAAAGGUAAGAAAAGAAAGGUAGAAAACUUCUGUGUUAUGUUCUAUGCUUGCUGGGUCUGUAAAUGAUUUUAGGUUCUACUUUCUAUAGCUUAGUUUUUCUUUUCAUAUGUAUUUUCAAAUUUGUAUCCACAUCUAAAUAUUUAUUGGGGACCUAUAAUGACUGAGACACUUUCCUACAUCUUUGAAUAAAGUAAUUAUAAAAACAAAAUUUCUAUUCUCAAUAAGGUUGCUAUAUUUAUUAAAUAAAAAUAUGCCAUGUUAGGUUGUUCAUUUAAGUUUUAAUUUCAAACAAUAAUUUCACUGUAAGUAUAUUAGCACUAACUCAGGGAGUUUGGUGGGGAUAAAUCUCCUAAAGUGAAUAUUAAUUAAUUUUUAAGAUUAUAUUCUUACUGUGAUAAAAUGCUCAGAUGAUUUACCAUUUAAAGCGUACAACUCAGUGGCAUUUAGUUUCCGCAGUGUUGUGUAGCAUCAGCACUAUUAGUUCAGACUUUUAUCACCCGGGUGGGAAAGUCCCAUGUGUAUUAACAAUUCAGACCCCACUCCCUAUUUCCCCCAGUCCCUAGUAGCCACUAAUCUAUUUUGUCUCUCUAGAUUUGUGUAUGCUGGAUGGCUCAUGUAAGUGGAGUCAUACAAGCUUUGGCUUUUGUUCUUUGACUUCUUUUAUUUAGAAUAAUGCUUUUAAUGUUUAUUCAUAUGAUAGCAUGUAUCAGAAUAUCAUUUCCUUUCAUGACUGAAUAAUACUGUGUUGUGUAUAUACAUUUUCUUCAUCCCCUUACAUGUUGUUUCACCUUUCUGCCAUUAUGAAAUAAGUAUUAGUUUUCUAUUUUAAAAAAUAAAUGUUUUUUCUCCAAAGAAUGAUGAAAAUAUUUUUCAAAGCUUUACCUAUUUCAGUGUUAAUAUGUUUAAAUAAUGCUGAGUGGUGGACCAGGCAAUAUUCAGUCAACACCACAUAUGCAUUAAAUAAAAUGUUUGGUUUUCUGGCCGAAUUUUUUUUUAAAAAGCAUAAAAUGUAAAUCUUAACCAUUAAGAAGUUUAUAUCAAAUUCUAAAAAAUGAAAGUCUGAAGUCCAGCAUUUAAUCACAAGUAAGACUUGUGCCUCUCAGCCAGAAACAACUGAGUUUAUAUUACCAAGUCAGGGCCUCCACUGGGACAGUGAGUAGGGCACAUCACAUCUGGGUGAUUAAAACACUUACCAAAAGAAGUGCCUCCUAGGAAAAAAAGAAGCAGAAGAAGGAGAAGAGGGAAAGGGAGGAGGAGGAGGAGAAAGAAGAGGAAGAAGUAAGACCUUAGCUAAAGAUAAAUCAUAUGUUCCAAUUCAUGAAGCUACCAAAAGUUCAGAAACAUGGAAGUCCCUUCAACACCUUCUCAUGGCACAUGUCAGGGCCCCUGAGGUUUUCUAAUUUACAUUAGCAAAUUCUUCUUUCCAACAGCUGGGAGAAGCUGGAUUAGAAAACCUUUUGCUGGCUCUCUAUGAAGCAGAAGACAUAGAAGCAGACAUGGGAAAACCGUGGCAUUUCUUUCUCUGUCGUCAGAACCCCAAGAAGCAAUGUCUGGCUCAAAACCAAAGGAGGCAGAAAGAGAUGAGGUCAAGUAACAGCAGUGAAAGGCCAGAAAUGCCCGGCUUCUCAAGAGUCUUCUGUGAUCAAGUGGUUCAUUCUGCGUCUCAGCUCAGGGACCUCUCCUUCCUUCCCCCCUCCUCAGGCGGAGUCUCCCUGAGUCACUGAAUUGCCCAGGCUGUGCUUGAACUUGCAGUCUUCUUGCCUGAUCCUCCCAGAAUUCUGGGCUUACAAGCAUGAGCAACCACACAUGGUACAAGAGCUUCCUAAAGUACCUUGUUUGUCACUCAUCAAAAGACCUAGAUGUCUGCCAUUUUGAACCAAACCAUAGUCAGCAACUUGGCAAGAGGCAGCAGCAGUCCUAAGGCAUCGCAGUUGUGUUGGGAGCCUACCAUUGCUUAAAAGAGACAUGAGCAGCUGUGACCUGAGCAGCUGUCCUCUUCGCAGGCCCCACCAUGCAAGUUCUGCCUUGAAGCCAGCGGACAGAGGACUGUAACCAUGAGCCAAAAUAGACCUCUCAUUUAAGCUUCAGCCACCAUGAACUGCGCCUCUGCCAUGUCACCCUGCCUUGGAGCCAACUGAGUACGGACUGAAACCUCCAAAAACUUUUCCCGCUUGCUGUUUGCAGCCACCAUGAACUGCAGCUCUGCCAUGCCAGCCUGCCUUGGAGCCAUCUUAGUAUGGACUGAACCUCCAAAAACUCCAGACCCCAGCCUUUUCCCAUGACUCAGCACUGUGUUCAGACUGCGGGGGAGGAGAACAAGAAUCACUAACAAGUAAGCCCUGUCAACCAGCAACAUGUGCAGGCUCUGCCAGUGCAGAGACAGCUGAACCCCAGCCUUUUCCCAUGAAUUAAUGUCAUUUAUGAAAUGUGAGGGAAGAGAAGUAAGCCAUCCCUGCAAACCAGCACCAUGUAUGGGCCACCAGUGGGGAGACAGCCAGACCCCAGCCUCUUCUGGCAUGCGGGCUGGGAAGCAAGAAAAGCCAAACCAUGCCUCCUAAUCCCCAUAAGCUACCAGCUGAUCUGGAGAAACACAGGCUGUGAUGAUAGCUAUUGAGAUGAAAUACAAUUUGAUGCUUGUGGUGUUUGGUGUUUCAUUGACUUUGCAGGUCUAGGGCUGGUGGCCUGAUCAUCUAUUCAGAGAAUACUGUAUGCAGUGUAGCAUCUAUUGGAGAUCCCCUUUUGAAGGCAGUAGCCACUGUUAAUUCCAUAUUAUCUUGUUUUGAAGUCUGUAUCAUUUUCAUUGGUUUGAUGGGUUGGGUUUUAUUCUAUUUGUUUUGUUUUGUUUGAUUUCGUUAUAUCUGAAGACAUGGGCAUCUAUUUCAAAGAUAGCAAGAUAUAGUACCCAUUUUGGAUUUAUUAUUGUCUUGU